CGAUGAUUUGAAAAAACGUAUUACGGAAUCAGAAGACCAGUUAGCAUACAAAAACAAAAGAAGUUCAAUUGUAUAAUAAUGCAAUGGUGGCACUCGAGAUGCAAAAGUUUGAGCUCAUCCAAGCCUAAAUGGGCAAACUUUAGCCUAUAACUACCGUGCCAAACUUGAAGACUGCAAUAAAAUCUCAAAUAGAAUAAAAGCAGAAAUUUAGGGUACAUUUUUGCCGAUAUCAUAGCGAGCAUUUACUUUUUUACCAUAAAGAUGAAAAAUGUGUAAUUUCGAACGAGUUGUCGAAUUAUCGGGAUAUUAUUGUAAAAAAACAAUUUGACUUGAAGAAAAAAGAGGACGAAGUUCAGGGAUAUGCUGAAAAAUUAACGAAAAUUAAAUCAAAAGUAAAAUCUUCUCGCCACAGCACAGAAUUCACUUCAAGAGUAGAUGAAAGUGAUGAUAGUAUACAUAAUAUUAGUGAUGCAAGAACUUUAUCCGAAAAAAGCCUUUUAUUAAAAAAAAAAUUAGAAGAAAAUCGUAAAAUAUUUGAACAAAGAAAUAAACACUUAAAUGAAAGUAAACGUGCAGCUGAAGUACAAGUUGAGAAAAUACUUCAGCAAUUAAAUGAUAGCUCCAGUGAUGAUAUUAAUAUUCCAUAAUGGAAAUCUAUUAAAAUGCGAUCUUUUUUAAUAUCUUAUAAAAUAUAUUUACAGAAUUGCAUGAAGUCAAACAAGAACUAUAGACAUUCGAUUCUUUAAAAUGCGUUGAAUUUGAAGAAAAAGAAGAAUAAUGCAAUCAGAAUCAAAACAAGGACAUGGCAAAUGAUGUUACACAAAAUAAUUUAGAACUAUUGAGAGUAUUAAAUGAAUUACAAAACCAAGUGAAUGUGGUAUUAAACGAAAAAAGUGCAUUAGAAGAGAAAUUCAA